rnacentral:misc_RNA from 1 species
GACAGAGGGUGCAAACGUUGCUCGGAAUUACUGGGCGUAAAGCGCGUGUAGGCGGGUCGGUAAGUCAGAUGUGAAAGCCCUGGGCUCAACCUAGGAACUGCAUUUGAAACUGCCGGUCUUGAGUGGUGGAGAGGGAAGCGGAAUUCCUGGUGUAGAGGUGAAAUUCGUAGAUAUCAGGAGGAACACCGGUGGCGAAGGCGGCUUCCUGGACACCUACUGACGCUGAGACGCGAAAGCGUGGGGAGCAAACAGG